rnacentral:tRNA from 1 species
GGGGCCGUAGCUCAGCCGGGAGAGCGCCUGCUUUGCAAGCAGGAGGUCAGGAGUUCGAUCCUCCUCGGCUCCACCA